UCGAUGGAUAUUACAGGAACUUGUCCCUUGGGCUUCAUGUGGAAGUGGAGCCAUCUGUCUUUUUUACACGGGUGAAUACCCUGCCUGCAACAAGUACCCGUCAGUGCCAUCUUCUACUUGAUGUGUUCAAUGCUACAGAACAUGAGCUCACAAUUAGCGCAAAGAAUAACGAAGAUCUAGUUCUGCAUGCUGCGGAAUGCCAGCGUAUGGCUAUUCAAGUUGACAAGUUCAAUUUUGAGAGCUACCCGGACUCGCCUGGUGAAAGAGCACAAUUUACAAAUCCAAGGCAGCUGGAAGAAGAGAGACAACAGGCAAAAGGUCUGGAGAUCAACA